CCACUGCAAUUACAUAAAUUUAUGAAAUCGAGCAGACCUCAUCCACGGUUGAUUUGGAUACUUACAGCUUGCUGGUUGCUCCCCCUGCUCGGCCUAGUCCUCUCCCCGUUUCCAACGGUCCACUCGGCUGACGUCACCAUGGCCGACGCCGCCCACCAGGAGUUCGCCCGCCGGUUGGCCCUCUUUUCCAUCAACGUGUACAGCAAGCUGUCGGCGCAUAAGCCCGGCGAGAACAUCGUCUUCUCGCCCUUUUCCAUCCAGACCUGUGCGGCGAUGGCCAGGCUGGGCGCAGAAAUGGAGACGGCCACACAACUGGACCAAGGACUGGGUCUGGCCACCAGUGACCCAGAACAAAUUGCACAGAGUUUCCACCAGGUGCUGGCCGCCUACCAGGACAGCCAGAUCCUGCGCAUCGCCAACAAGAUUUUCGUGAUGGAGGGCUACCAGCUGCGUCAGGAGUUUGACCAGUUGUUGUCCAAGCAGUUCCUCUCGGCGGCUCAGAGCGUGGACUUUGCCAAAAAUGUCCAAGCAGCGGCCACCAUCAACAACUGGGUCGAGCAGCGCACCAACCACCUGAUCAAGGACCUUGUGUCGGCUGACGUACUGAACUCCGAUUCGCGACUGGUCCUUGUGAACGCCAUCCACUUCAAGGGCACCUGGCAGCACCAGUUCUCCAAGCACUUGACGCGCCCGGACACCUUUCACCUGGAUGGCGAGCGAACCGUUCAGGUUCCGAUGAUGAGUAUUAAGAAGCGGCUACGCUACGCCGAUCUGACGGCGCUAGAUGCCAAGGCCCUGGAACUGCCCUACAAGGACUCAGACCUAUCUAUGCUGAUCGUUCUGCCCAACACCAAGACGGGUCUGCCCGCACUAGAGGAGAAGCUGCGCCUCACUCCCCUUUCGCAGAUCACGCAGGCGUUGCACGAAACCAUGGUGGCACUCAAACUGCCCAGGUUCAAGGCGGAGUUCCAAGUGGAGUUGACUGAGGUUUUCCAGGAGUUGGGCAUGUCAAGGAUGUUCACCGAUCAGGCUCAAUUCGGAAAAAUGCUGCAAAGUCCGGAGCCCUUGAAAGUGUCAGCCGUCAUACACAAGGCCUUCAUAGAAGUAAACGAAGAGGGAACGGAGGCUGCGGCCGCCACGGGAAUGGUCAUGUGCUUCGCCUCCAUGCUCUCGUACGAACCACAGCCCGUCCAAUUCCAUGUACAGCAUCCAUUUAACUAUUACAUAAUCAAUAAGGAUUCUACAAUUUUGUUUGCGGGCAGAAUCAAUAGGCUUUGAAGUUAGCACUCCAUCAAAAUCCACCCGUCACAACCAUUGAACUGAAUUUCAAUGCAAUCCCAAUCCGCAGGACUCAGCAGCUCUCUUCGCUGGCGGCAUCAAGAAAAUCUAAAUAAGCACGGGCACCUUCUACUAACCAAUCCACCAUGUCACUCGAGGGUCUCGUCUUUGUUUAAUUUACACGUGGGCCAGUCCUAUAGCUGGCAUAUAUACAUAUAUAUAUAUCUAUAUCUAUAUAUCAAGCAUAAAUUCGACUUUUACAUUGCCUGUAAGGAUACACAAAACUUUAGACUGUGCGCAAUUGAUGAAUUUAUAUAUACGCUUAAUAUUUUUGUACUAACCAAGCAUGUAGCCUUAAUAAAGUCUAGAAGCAGGUGUCUAAAA